rnacentral:misc_RNA from 1 species
GAUGAAGAACGCAGCAAAAUGCGAUAAGUAGUGUGAAUUGCAGAAUUCAGUGAAUCAUCGAAUCUUUGAACGCACAUUGCGCCCCUUGGUAUUCCAUGGGGCAUGCCUGUUCGAGCGUCAUUGACACCCUCAAGCUCUGCUUGGUGUUGGGCCGUUGUCGUUUCCUCGCCCCCCCCGGGCGACACAGCGACACCCCUCAAAGUCAUUGGCGGCUUUCCUGCCCAGCUUUCCCGCGCAGCAGUUCGCGCUUCGGAGACCACUUGGCAGGUUGGCAUCCAUCAAGCUGACCCCUUCAUGCUUGACCUCGGAUCAGGUAGGGAUACCCGCUGAACUUAAGCAUAUCAAUAAGCGGAGGA